AAAGCGGGUGAAAAGCCCGCUCGCCGGAAGACCAAGGGUUCCUGUCCAACGUUAAUCGGGGCAGGGUGAGUCGACCCCUAAGGCGAGGCCGAAAGGCGUAGUCGAUGGGAAACGGGUUAAUAUUCCCGUACUUGGUGUUACUGCGAAGGGGGGACGGAGAAGGCUAUGUUGGCCGGGCGACGGUUGUCCCGGUUUAAGCGUGUAGGUGUGUGUUCCAGGUAAAUCCGGUUCACUUUAACACUGAGGCGUGACGACGAGGCACUACGGUGCUGAAGCAACAAAUGCCCUGCUUCCAGGAAAAGCCUCUAAGCAUCAGGUAACACGAAAUCGUACCCCAAACCGACACAGGUGGUCAGGUAGAGAAUACCAAGGCGCUUGAGAGAACUCGGGUGAAGGAACUAGGCAAAAUGGUGCCGUAACUUCGGGAGAAGGCACGCUGACACGUAGGUGAAGUGAUUUACUCAUGGAGCUGAAGUCAGUCGAAGAUACCAGCUGGCUGCAACUGUUUAUUAAAAACACAGCACUGUGCAAACACGAAAGUGGACGUAUACGGUGUGACGCCUGCCCGGUGCCGGAAGGUUAAUUGAUGGGGUCAGCGCAAGCGAAGCUCCUGAUCGAAGCCCCGGUAAACGGCGGCCGUAACUAUAACGGUCCUAAGGUAGCGAAAUUCCUUGUCGGGUAAGUUCCGACCUGCACGAAUGGCGUAAUGAUGGCCAGGCUGUCUCCACCCGAGACUCAGUGAAAUUGAACUCGCUGUGAAGAUGCAGUGUACCCGCGGCAAGACGGAAAGACCCCGUGAACCUUUACUAUAGCUUGACACUGAACAUUGAGCCUUGAUGUGUAGGAUAGGUGGGAGGCUUUGAAGUGUGGACGCCAGUCUGCAUGGAGCCGACCUUGAAAUACCACCCUUUAAUGUUUGAUGUUCUAACGUGGACCCGUAAUCCGGGUUGCGGACAGUGUCUGGUGGGUAGUUUGACUGGGGCGGUCUCCUCCUAAAGAGUAACGGAGGAGCACGAAGGUUGGCUAAUCCUGGUCGGACAUCAGGAGGUUAGUGCAAUGGCAUAAGCCAGCUUGACUGCGAGCGUGACGGCGCGAGCAGGUGCGAAAGCAGGUCAUAGUGAUCCGGUGGUUCUGAAUGGAAGGGCCAUCGCUCAACGGAUAAAAGGUACUCCGGGGAUAACAGGCUGAUACCGCCCAAGAGUUCAUAUCGACGGCGGUGUUUGGCACCUCGAUGUCGGCUCAUCACAUCCUGGGGCUGAAGUAGGUCCCAAGGGUAUGGCUGUUCGCCAUUUAAAGUGGUACGCGAGCUGGGUUUAGAACGUCGUGAGACAGUUCGGUCCCUAUCUGCCGUGGGCGCUGGAGAACUGAGGGGGGCUGCUCCUAGUACGAGAGGACCGGAGUGGACGCAUCACUGGUGUUCGGGUUGUCAUGCCAAUGGCACUGCCCGGUAGCUAAAUGCGGAAGAGAUAAGUGCUGAAAGCAUCUAAGCACGAAACUUGCCCCGA
rnacentral:rRNA from 1 species